GUUGUAUGGUAGUGAGACAUGGGCAGCGAAGCAGGAAGAUCUUGGCCGUUUAGAAAGGAAUGAUAUGAGAAUAGUUAGGUGGAUGUGUAACGCCAGUCUGAGAGACAGAAAGAGUUCAGAUGAGCUAAGAAGCAGGCUAAGUAUCUGUAGAAUUAAAGAUGUUAUCCAGAUAACAAGAUUAAAUUGGCUGGGUACUUGGAAAGAAUGGAGGAGGAUAAUUGGGUAAGAAAGUGUAGAGACUUAAUAGUUCCUGGGGCAAAGCCCAGAGGCAGACCGAGAAAGACUUGGCAGGAGGUUAUAAGGACAGACUUGAUACAGAGGAAGUGGAGUUUAGAUCUAACACAGUCUAGAUCAGAUUGGAAGAGGGUCAUUAAUAUACCCCGUCCAACCCAUGCUAGCAUGGAAAACGGACGUUAAGCCGAGAAUGAUGAUGAUAAUGAUGAAAGACAUUUCAUUCAUUUUCAUAAUUAUUUUUAGAGAUAGAAUUUUCCCACUUUUCAUAAAAAAUGCUCCUCAGAUAACUCCAGCCUUUCUAAUUCACUUCUGCACUCGUGUGAACAAAAAAAGCAAGUAAACAAGAUAUGUCAUCAAUUUUUUCCCAACAUUGAAUGUGAACCAAAAAGUUUUAAUUCAUGCAGAAAUUAAAAUAUCUACAAUAAGCCUUGUUACGCUUAUGCUGGUAUAUAUGGUUGUGUUUUGGAAAAUCUCACUCAAAUAUUUAAAAAUUAAAUAUUUUUUAGGCUCUUUGUUUUCAAAUAUGAUGUCAUUAUCUGUGAUUGAACAUUAUUUAUUCUUAAAAAACCUAAGGUUUUAGCAGACCCAAAACGCUGUUACUAGUUUGUUACAUAUAAAAUGUCAUGUGACGAAGACGUAAUAAAAACAAUUUUAAAGAGUGAGAAUAAUUUUUUUUUUUUUUAAUGAAAUACUAGUGUCUACUCUAAUUGUCAUGUAUUAUUUUAGUGUAUUUUAAUAAUACUUCAAUAUGGUAAUGAUGGCACUUAACCGAUAUUGCAGUGAUUGCAUGAAAAAGGGAGAAUUUUUACCUCUUCGGUUCGUAAUGAUGAAUAUCAGUAGUGGUGUUUGGAUUUGUCCUAAAGAUGAGUGUAUAUUUCCAAUGAACUCUUCAUUAUUGAUGGAUUAUAUUGAAGAUAAUGUGACGUCAGAGAGGGUGUUAAGAUUGACAAGGCCAAGUGUGAAGAAAAAUUCAAUGAAUAAAAAGCUGGGGAAUACACCACCAGGAAAACUUUUAUCAGAGGACCAAUUGAAACCAUUUGCAGAGAUAAGUCCACAAUGGUCAUAUUCAUCUAGAAGUUACACAUCUGGGGAAAGCUCUUCAUCAUUAAAAUCAAAUGAAAGUAAUGACAAUGUUAGCUCUAAAAAGUCGACAAUUUCUUCUGAUAUAGUACUGCAACAGGGACCACAUAUGACAUAUCCCUUGUGGGAAAACGAUGGUUUGCUAUGUUGGUUAGAUGCAGCAUUAGCGAUGCUGGUGCUUAACACAACAUUGCGGGAAACUAAGUCAAAGGAUGAAACCUCCCUAGUCAAUCACCUUAUAAAGGACUACCAAAAACUGUUAAAUGCGUUUAAUUUGCAUGGCGUGUAUACACAGGUGCGUCCACAGCUUCGGGAAUUACGCCAAUGCUUUUUAAAAUUCUUGCAACCAAAACUGUUGUCCAGUGAUGAUCAGGAUGACUCUCCCCUAUUUUUGUUGCCGUUCAUCCUGAAAGCAGACGAAAAACUUUAUGCAGACUUAGAGGUUGAUUUUACGUGCAGAUUUCAUUGCAAUGAGUGUGGAUUUGAGAAGACAGAUGGGUUCAACAAAAUGAUCAUAUCUCUUCCCAACUGCAAUGAAGAUUUAAGCUUCGAUGACAACAUACAUUUUUCAAGAGCGUGCUACCAUUGCUUCAAGGCUGGCCAAAGAACACAAUUUCAUAUCAACAGACAUCCAAAAAUUAUGUUCGUCCAUUUCAAGGAGGGCGUGACAACUCGACAAUUUUGGAAUGAGUUCAACUUUACAGGUCCGGACAACGAUAGGUACAUUGUGACACAAAUUAUACAGUACCUACACAAGAAACGACACUUUGUUUUGUGGUCUUACAGUUUUGAAGAAAAAUUAUGGCUACAAGCUGACGACCUGAAGGAACAUGUGGUAAAUUUUAAGUACAAACAGCCAAGAUGUCGCCCAGAAGAGGUGCAUCUUGUUAUUUGGGAGCGCUUGUCUGUGUUGCAAGCGGUCAUCAAAACAAAGCUAAAAGUAGCUUUACCAAAACUUGAAUUAUCGAGUCCACUGGAUUCUCCGUCUGUGUAUACAAUGUUGAGUAGAAGAUUUGGUGCAAGUCGUUGCUCGAGCAAGACAGCUUCUAUUGUGAGUAGUGAUGGACUGACUCCCUUACAUUCUCCUUCGGGACUAUCGAAAGUUAGUUUGAUUAAAGGCAUGCAGAACGUGCCGAGGUUUCAACCGUACAUGUCGAAGCAAAAAGGGAAACAAAGUUUGAAUAAAUCGAGUCAAAAUCGAAAAGAUACCGGCAGCAAUAAAGUUAAACUAGAGUCUGAUAGAAAUAACGAGUCUGCAACUGAAAGCACUAAGGUCAGCAAUUUUUCAUGCACUUCUUCGCUUGUUUUGACUCUUUCUGAAGCUGUCACAGCGAGUGUACUAAGCAGUGAAAAAAGCAGCGGCGAAACCAACGAUAGUGUUAUCGCAAUGAGCGUAACAAGUAGUUCUAGCAGCGAAACAAACGAUAUUAGAGCGUUACCAAAACGAAUAGAUGUCGAUACAACAGCAGUGUUGAAUCGAGUGAAAGACAUUUUAUCCGUCGAAUUUGAAGAAAUGGAUAUAUUUCCUUCCAAAGACGAGACAAAAACAAUUGAAUCUAGUGACUCAUAUGAAAAUGAUGAGAAUGAAAUUGAUUUUCAAAUGGGAGGUGUUGACGUAAUUAGCGAUAAAUUAUUGGACGAUAUAUUAGAUGGAAAUUUAUGAAAAGUGUUAGCGUACGCGCGGAAACCGGCCUAAUGUGGGGAAGUUCGAUCGAUCACUGUCUGUUACUUGUCUGUUACCCUAUCCACGUUUUUCUUUGAAAAAGGGUUUGUUCUUUAGUGCAAAACUUCUUAUGAUAAAAGACUCCCACAGGACAAGUAUUGCUCACAAACGAUAAUUCUCACAAUAUGAAAAUUUUCAAUUUGCAUUAUUAGAUUCAGAUAUUCCUGUUGUAUAACAAGCUGUUAGUAGCUGUGUAGAAAUAUCUCUCGUUUUUUGUAGUCUAAUCUUCUUGGUGCAGAAUCAAUCAGAAUGAAAACAAAAUCAGUCCCAUAUGCACCCUUUUAUACGCCUCUGAAAUUCGUCCGUCACAGUUAAAAAGCAUCCAAUUUUUGGAACCAAAAGUUUCGCUGGUUGAUGUUUUUUGUGUUUGCCAUUUUUCGCUUUGCGAACAGUAUCUGAUAAAGUGAGAAGUCAAUUACAAUCAUUUUUUGCUAAUUGGUUAAUCUGCUAAUUUUAUUAAAGCAAAAGCGUGUUAAACCAAAGGGGCCUGGACACAAAGAACUUAUAAGUUACAACAAUAAUCAAACUGCCAAAAAGAAAAAGCAUGAGCGGUUAUUAAGGAUUGUGUAUUUUUACUUAUUGUUCAUAAUUAGAAACAGCUGGCUCAUUAAAAACAUUAAUUAGUUAUACUUGACCACGACUAAAACACGCUUUAUUUUUUGUUUGCAAAACAUAUCAAUUAUAUAUUCAUAUUUGUUAAUAUAUUUCGUUAACGUCAAAUCAACUCGCGGUGAUUUGUUUAACUUCAUUAACUUUUAUCUGCCUCUGUUGAAUAUUAGACAUCUGUUUCCGAGAUGCAGCCAAUGAAAAUCGACUUAUUGUGUAUGGUAACCAAUGGAAUCUUUCAAACAUAUAAAUGCCGAAACGUUGCAAUCAAAACAAUACCACUUCUGAAAAUAAAAUAUACACUUUGAAUUUGCUUGUUGUUCGGUAAAUUAUUAAUGGACGACCUGCACUCUGCCGUAGAUAUUUUAACUAAAUGUCAACACAGCUGCAAUAAUCUUGUUUUACCUCCACGAUGAAGAGCGACUCCCAUGCUUUAUCGCUUAAGAUUUUUAAGCGGUUAUUUAAAAAAGCAUGCAAGAUUGUACAGCUGUUGUUAAAAAACACAUUUGCGGUUUUUAAUUGAAGUGAAAAAUGUGCAACGUAUAUUGAUUCACUCGACGCUGUUUUUCGCGCUGGCAGAUGGCGAAUAAAAUACGAGCGCUAUUAAAAAAUGCAUGAUUAGAUAUUAAGCGGGCUUAUUGCCACGCGAUUGUUCUAAUAGAAAGAUGUAUAAAUAGACAUUAAACUAAAAUGGAGCAUAAAAAGCAUUGUGAAGCGUAUUUAUUGAAAAGAGAUACACUUGUGUCAUACUUUAUAGUUCAUUGCAACGAGUAGGUAAAAAGAUUUGUUUCGAAGAGAAGAACAAUGGUUUGGAAGGAGCAAAAAGAUCGAAACAAAACUAACGUAUUUUCAUCGUCUCAAAAUUAUCUAGCAUCAAAGUACUACACACAAACAGAACACGAUUAUACAACUCGCUAUUAUACCCCACCGCAAAAGCACAACAAUAAACCAAGUAGUCAUCAUUUUAAAGAACAAUCUGGCAUAGUUAAAGCAAUAGAACAUAGACUUUCACUUGAAGCAGAAAAAGUUCGAUAUUCUGAUAUUUUUGACACUUUAAAAAUAGACUUGGAAAGCAUACAAUCUUUUAACGAAUUUGCGAGACACUUACACAGAGUAAAUCCAAUUUGUAAUCCGGAUGCUGUGGACACGGCUGAUAAGCUGGUUACUCUACUGGGAAUAUAAUAAUGUCUUAUAAUCAAGGUGUUACGAUUUCUCGUUUACCCAGACAAAAGUCAUCGAAAAACUUCGUUGCGAGCCAUGGUUAGUGUUACCAACCAACGAAAACACUUUCAUAACUGAAGAAAGCAAUUUUCAAUCCUACCCAGACACAAAUGUAAAGUGACUUUCGUGACUACCAGCAAAUUUCCGAACAUUUCCGAUUAUCUUGAUAUAUAUUAUCAGUGAUCAGUGUUUCCCACGAAAUUUCACGGGCUGUGUUCAAUUCUAUUUAUCGUUUGAUAAAACAUUUCUAGAAAUUUUAACUAGUAUAUUGUAUGGGAUACUAUCACAAGGACCAUUAGGUUUUAUUUUAGUUACCCUUAAAAAAAUUGUCAACAAAUUUUACUGAA